GCCUGGGUGGCUCAGUAGGUUAAGCGUCCGACUUCGGCUCAGGUCAUGACCUCAUGGUUCGUGGGUUUGAGUCCCAUGUCAGGCU
rnacentral:tRNA from 1 species